rnacentral:rRNA from 1 species
CAUCCUCCAAGGCUAAAUACUCCUGACUGACCGAUAGUGAACCAGUACCGUGAGGGAAAGGCGAAAAGAACCCCGGCGAGGGGAGUGAAAAAGAACCUGAAACCGUGUACGUACAAGCAGUGGGAGCCCCACCACCAAAGCAUUCUCUGGUGUUGAAGGCCCUGCAAAGCAGCAUCGCGGUGGCGGAGCGUCGUUUGCGACGCCCAACACACAAAACAAGCGGUGAGUGCUUUGGGGUGGGGUGACUGCGUACCUUUUGUAUAAUGGGUCAGCGACUUAUAUUCUGUAGCAAGGUUAACCGUAUAGGGGAGCCGUAGGGAAACCGAGUCUUAACCGGGCGUUAAGUUGCAGGGUAUAGACCCGAAACCCGGUGAUCUAGCCAUGGGCAGGUUGAAGGUUGGGUAACACUAACUGGAGGACCGAACCGACUAAUGUUGAAAAAUUAGCGGAUGACCUGUGGCUGGGGGUGAAAGGCCAAUCAAACCGGGAGAUAGCUGGUUCUCCCCGAAAGCUAUUUAGGUAGCGCCUCGUGAACUCAUCUCCGGGGGUAGAGCACUGUUUCGGCUAGGGGGCCAUCCCGGCUUACCAACCCGAUGCAAACUGCGAAUACCGGAGAAUGUUAUCACGGGAGACACACGGCGGGUGCUAACGUCCGUCGUGAAGAGGGAAACAACCCAGACCGCCAGCUAAGGUCCCAAAGUCACAGUUAAGUGGGAAACGAUGUGGGAAGGCUCAGACAGCCAGGAUGUUGGCUUAGAAGCAGCCAUCAUUUAAAGAAAGCGUAAUAGCUCACUGGUCGAGUCGGCCUGCGCGGAAGAUGUAACGGGGCUAAACUGUGCACCGAAGCUGCGGCAGCGACGCUUAUGCGUUGUUGGGUAGGGGAGCGUUCUGUAAGCCUGCGAAGGUGUCCUGUGAGGGAUGCUGGAGGUAUCAGAAGUGCGAAUGCUGACAUAAGUAACGAUAAUGCGGGUGAAAAGCCCGCUCGCCGGAAGACCAAGGGUUCCUGUCCAACGUUAAUCGGGGCAGGGUGAGUCGACCCCUAAGGCGAGGCCGAAAGGCGUAGUCGAUGGGAAACGGGUUAAUAUUCCCGUA